rnacentral:misc_RNA from 1 species
GAAAUAUUGGCUUGAUUUGCCUAAUAAGAAUGUUGAAAAUAGACAGAUAGUCAAAUGUGGUAACAUUGAGACCGCGGAGCUCUAUGUUCAUGUUAAACCGGCUGAAGGAGGAACGUUCACUGAUAUUGCGAUGUGGAUAUUUUGCCCCUUCAACGGACCAGCUACACUCAAAGUAGGCUUGAUGAAUCUUUCCUUGAAUAAAGUAGGCGAACACGUGUGUGAUUGGGAGCAUUAUACUCUUCGUAUUAGCAACUUCUCAGGGGAGCUCUGUAGUGUAUACUUCUCAGAACAUAGUGGUGGUGAAUGGGUUGAUGCUCGUGAUUUGGAGUUCAUCGAGGG